rnacentral:rRNA from 1 species
CGGCCAGUAGGUUGUCGUCAUAGAAGUCGAACUGGGUACCGUCUGCGGCCACUGCUUUGCCAUCGCCCCAAAGCUUGGGCAGGUCAAGUUGCAGAUAGAGCUCCACCAACUCGCGAUUAGCCUUGUCCAGUUUCUCCAGCGAGAGGUGGCGGCGAUUGGUAUAGGACAGCAUAUGCGGUGUGACAUUACCGGCCAGAUGCCGCGCGGCCUGGCUGGGACCGAGAUUGCAGCCCAUGGCGAAGAUCGUCAUCAGGUAGCGCUCGGCCGGCUCUUUGAGCUUUGGCUCGUUGCCGGACAUCGGUCCGAAAUGCCGCGUGAACUGAAUCCAGUGCUCAAUGUUGGCCAUAAUGUCCAGCACGUGCCUGGCUGGCAUACGCUGCAUAAGCGCCGUCUGUAGCGAGAUGGCUGAAGGCGGGAUGUCCCGUGCCAUCACCCGCCGCAGUACCGGCUCGCCUGCAUCGUUGAUCGACACAUCCCCUCGACAGGAAGGGAACUUGUCAUCUAACUGUUGCGCGGUUUCCUCCAACUGGCUCUUGAGCGAGGCGACAAACUCCUUCGCUGUGGUAGGAAGGCCCACCUUCUCGCAGUAUGCCGGUAGCCGCUGGAGACACUCUUCCCAAGGCAGCAACUGUUUACGGUAGUCGGCGAAGGAUUCCGAUCCCUGCACGCACAGAUCACCCGAGCGCAGUUCACUGGCCAGGUAGGAGAACACGCAGACCUCCAGAUAACGUCGGUUGGUAGGCGGCCCUUCACUGGUAGGGCGACGCACGAUCUUCACCCAGCGAUCUGAUGCAAACGACAAGUCGACAUGCUCAUCGAUCCAUUCACGGUGCAGAUUCUCACUGUCCUGAAUGAGCUGAAGCGCCUGGAUAAGUGAGCGAUCCUGGGUGGUGGGCUCCAACUGGAGAAGGUGGCUGAGGCGAAACAGCAGUGAACGAUGGGACUUGAAGUGCCUCCAGAUCAGCGGCAAGUAGUUAUUACCUCCUGUGGCCUGAACUUCAGCACAAACCUCUCGCAACCAGGGUUAGUCGGUUCCUAAGGCGAGGCUGAAAAGCGUAGUCGAUGGGAAACAGGUUAAUAUUCCUGUACUUCUGGUUACUGCGAUGGAGGGACGGAGAAGGCUAGGCCAGCUUGGCGUUGGUUGUCCAAGUUUAAGGUGGUAGGCUGAAAUCUUAGGUAAAUCCGGGGUUUCAAGGCCGAGAGCUGAUGACGAGUCGUCUUUUAGAUGACGAAGUGGUUGAUGCCAUGCUUCCAAGAAAAGCUUCUAAGCUUCAGGUAACCAGGAACCGUACCCCAAACCGACACAGGUGGUCGGGUAGAGAAUACCAAGGCGCUUGAGAGAACUCGGGUGAAGGAACUAGGCAAAAUGGCACCGUAACUUCGGGAGAAGGUGCGCCGGCUAGGGUGAAGGAUUUACUCCGUAAGCUCUGGCUGGUCGAAGAUACCAGGCCGCUGCGACUGUUUAUUAAAAACACAGCACUCUGCAAACACGAAAGUGGACGUAUAGGGUGUGACGCCUGCCCGGUGCCGGAAGGUUAAUUGAUGGGGUUAGCGCAAGCGAAGCUCUUGAUCGAAGCCCCGGUAAACGGCGGCCGUAACUAUAACGGUCCUAAGGUAGCGAAAUUCCUUGUCGGGUAAGUUCCGACCUGCACGAAUGGCGUAACGAUGGCGGCGCUGUCUCCACCCGAGACUCAGUGAAAUUGAAAUCGCUGUGAAGAUGCAGUGUAUCCGCGGCUAGACGGAAAGACCCCGUGAACCUUUACUGUAGCUUUGCACUGGACUUUGAGCCUGCUUGUGUAGGAUAGGUGGGAGGCUUUGAAGCGUGGACGCCAGUUCGCGUGGAGCCAUCCUUGAAAUACCACCCUGGCAUGCUUGAGGUUCUAACUCUGGUCCGUGAUCCGGAUCGAGGACAGUGUAUGGUGGGCAGUUUGACUGGGGCGGUCUCCUCCUAAAGAGUAACGGAGGAGUACGAAGGUGCGCUCAGACCGGUCGGAAAUCGGUCGCAGAGUAUAAAGGCAAAAGCGCGCUUGACUGCGAGACAGACACGUCGAGCAGGUACGAAAGUAGGUCUUAGUGAUCCGGUGGUUCUGUAUGGAAGGGCCAUCGCUCAACGGAUAAAAGGUACUCCGGGGAUAACAGGCUGAUACCGCCCAAGAGUUCAUAUCGACGGCGGUGUUUGGCACCUCGAUGUCGGCUCAUCACAUCCUGGGGCUGAAGCCGGUCCCAAGGGUAUGGCUGUUCGCCAUUUAAAGUGGUACGCGAGCUGGGUUUAGAACGUCGUGAGACAGUUCGGGAAUUUUGCUGGAGGGCGCCGAUUCA